UACGAAGGGAGCUAGCGUUGUUCGGAAUCACUGGGCGUAAAAGCGCACGUAGGCGGAUGUGUCAGUCAGGGGUGAAAUCCCGGAGCUCAACUUCGGAACUGCCUUUGAUACAGCACGUCUUGAGUCCGAUAGAGGUGGGUGGAAUUCCUAGUGUAGAGGUGAAAUUCGUAGAUAUUAGGAAGAACACCGGUGGCGAAGGCGGCCCACUGGACCGGUACUGACGCUAUGCGCGAAAGCGUGGGGACAAACGGGUUAGAUA
rnacentral:rRNA from 1 species